rnacentral:snRNA from 1 species
GGAUGUGAGGGUGAUCUGGCUGCGACAUCUGUCACCCCAUUGAUCGCCAGGGGUGAUUCGGCUGAUCUGGCUGGCUAGGCGGUUGCCCCCUCCUCCAUCACUGCUCCAUGUACGUCCCUCACUGCUCCAUGUGCGUCCCUCCAGAAGCUGCGAGCUCAGUCAAAGAGGACGGCCUUCCCCGAAUAGAAAAGUGAAAGAAUAAGAA